UGGGGAAUUUUGGACAAUGGGCGAAAGCCUGAUCCAGCAAUGCCGCGUGUGUGAAGAAGGCCUUCGGGUUGUAAAGCACUUUUGUCCGGAAAGAAAUGGCUCUGGUUAAUACCUGGGGUCGAUGACGGUACCGGAAGAAUAAGGACCGGCUAACUACGUGCCAGCAGCCGCGGUAAUACGUAGGGUCCAAGCGUUAAUCGGAAUUACUGGGCGUAAAGCGUGCGCAGGCGGUUGUGCAAGACCGAUGUGAAAUCCCCGAGCUUAACUUGGGAAAUGCAUUGGUGACUGCACGGCUAGAGUGUGUCAGAGGGGGGUAGAAUUCCACGUGUAGCAGUGAAAUGCGUAGAGAUGUGGAGGAAUGCCGAUGGCGAAGGCAGCCCCCUGGGAUAACACUGACGCUCAUGCACGAAAGCGUGGGGAGCAAACAGG
rnacentral:rRNA from 1 species